CCAGUCGAGGCCUGGGGUUGGCCUAACGCCUAAGGGCCUAAGGAACUUUUUGGGACGUUCAGGAGACCCCGAAGUGGGAGGUUUUGGACACAACUUGCAUCUCCUCAGAGCACCUUUGACUCUGGAGGCCUCCGUAUGAGGGCCUGGCUCUGGCCUGCGGUGAGGACGGACCAGAGAGGGAUUUUUUUUUCGUCCUCCCAACUACCAGGGAUUGAGCACUGGGGGCCAGGCACGAGAAAACAUACUAUUUCAUAUCGAAUCAAAUUCUCCAUGUUAUCUACUCAAGUCAUAAGCUUCUGAAGAAAGUGUCCUGUAAAUUCUCAGCAGAAUAUGCUUUCAACAAUUCUUUAAAAACAAUAAAGUCCUAAUAAAAA